rnacentral:rRNA from 1 species
AUUGAACGCUGGCGGCAUGCUUUACACAUGCAAGUCGAACGGUAACAGGUUAAGCUGACGAGUGGCGAACGGGUGAGUAAUGCAUCGGAACGUGCCCGAUCGUGGGGGAUAACGCAGCGAAAGCUGCGCUAAUACCGCAUACGAUCUGAGGAUGAAAGCGGGGGACCGUAAGGCCUCGCGCGAUCGGAGCGGCCGAUGUCAGAUUAGGUAGUUGGUGGGGUAAAGGCCCACCAAGCCGACGAUCGUUAGCUGGUCUGAGAGGACGACCAGCCACACUGGGACUUAGACACGGCCCAGACUCCUACGGGAGGCAGCAGUGGGGAAUUUUGGACAAUGGGCGAAAGCCUGAUCCAGCAAUGCCGCGUGCAGGAAGAAGGCCUUCGGGUUGUAAACUGCUUUUGUACGGAGCGAAAAGGUCCUUUCUAAUACAAGGGGCUCAUGACGGUACCGUAAGAAUAAGCACCGGCUAACUACGUGCCAGCCGCCGCCGUAA